UUGUUUUAGAUUUAUGAGCUUGACUGUCCCUUUGGUAUCUUUCGUCCCUCUUUUUUUGACAAACACCAAUUUUGUUCAUUGAGAAGCUUUAAAAAGAGGGACGAAAGAUACCAAAGGGACAGUCAGACUCAUAAAUCUA
rnacentral:sRNA from 1 species